ensembl:lncRNA
CUUGUGUCGUCGCCAGACUUGUGUGUGCGCGUGUGUGUGUGAAGGAAGUGGGGGGUGCAUGCAUGUGGGAAUGCAUGUGCUUGUUUAUCUGUGUAAAAGCACGGAAGGAACGGGAGGUAGGGAGGGUGAGAGAGGGGGAGAGAUUUGUAAGGCACUUGUAUUUGCAAACUACUGGCUGAGUUCCCACUAGAGGCAGAGAGAUCACGCUGAAAGACUGCGUGUCAGGAGUGUGUGUGUGUGUGUGUGGGAGAGACAUGCAGACAGUGAGCGAGAGGAACCCGUUCAACUCAUUUCAGCAGUGAAUUCUCAGCCCGUCUAAACGAGCUUUCUCCUCACAUAUGGAAGCUUUUUGCUCUCGCGUUUGAUUUUUCCCUCCUAACGUCGCCACAGUUUCACGCUGCCGCUGAACUUUUGGUCGCACUUGACGCUUCAUCUGAUUGUUUGGCGAUUCCCUGAAUCCUGGCUCUGUGUGAACAUCGAGGACGCCGCUUUGCAUUUAUUUAGCAUUACUGUUAUGUUGUGGCGACUGUUCCCUCGGUGCGGGCAGUCACAGCGUAGGCAGGGGGCUCGGAGUGUCGCCUAAAGCGGUCCUCCCACCACGAUCCAGACGCCGAAUUCCACAACCCGAGUUUUCCAUUACUAACUGAAAGCCUCAGCGAUACUUCUGCUCCUGUUUGUUAAUGUCGCCUCGUUUCCUUUAGCCAGGCUGGAAAUACAACGAGCUACAAAGUCAGUCAUACUUCACGACAUUCCAGGAAUUCCAAGGCUGGAAGCGAGCCUGUCAGGGACAGAACGGACAUGGCUGCUGUGGGGGGCUUUUGUAAUUACACAACCAGC